GUUUGAUAGAGGAAACUGUAACUACAACUAAAAUUGGAACGAUACAGAGAAGAUUAGCAUGGCCCCUGCGCAAGGAUGACACGCAAAAUCGUGAAGCGUUCCACAUUUUU
rfam:Asian citrus Psyllid, Diaphorina citri - Florida Strain, whole genome shotgun sequence.